CUCUUGGACAACAAAUAUAAGAGGUACUGCCUGCCCAGUGACACUUGUUUAACGGCCGCGGUAUUAUGACCGUGCAAAGGUAGCGUAAUCACUUGUCUUUUAAAUAAGGACCAGUAUGAAUGGCAAAACGAAAACUUAACUGUCUCUUCAAGCAAGUCAGUGAAAUUGAUCUCCCCGUGAAAAAGCGAGGAUAUUUAUAU
rnacentral:rRNA from 1 species